CCAAGUGUUCAAAUCUCACCCAAAGGCAUCUCAGUGGGGCGGGGGAAGAGAGGCUCAGCUCAUCCACUGAUCCCAGGGGUCAGGAGGUUCUCGGGAUGGUGCAUUCCCUCGGGAUGGUCCUAACGAUGAUAUCUUCCCUAAUGAUGAUAUCUUCCCUAACGGUGAUAUCUUCCCUGACAUCCCCAGUCUCUUAGGCCAAUUUAUAUUAUUUUCUAUCUUUUCGGUGGAGCUUGAGUGGCACUACACUACAGCAUUUGUCAAAACAUGACAGGUCCUUGGCUCAGGGUAGCAAAAAGUGCGGCAUAUCGGUCUCGAUGUGCACAAGAACAAUCGAGUCCCCACCUGGUCACAGAGCCUAGCCGUGGUGUCUCCACUCCACUCUACGCUCCGUACUGUUCUUUAGAGCUAGCACACCAGGUUCCCCUAGUGCGAUAGCAUCUAAGGUUGGGAGCCUAGGGAACGCUCAGGUAAUGCAGCUACGCCCUACCCUGAAAGCCUCUUCAGUGUUGUACAUUUUCUUUAAAAUGUGAAUGUUAGUCUUCUUUUCCUAGUUACUUUGGGCAAUUGCACCACCGCAUGCUCCAUAUAAGGACUCCGAGACACCAGAGCAAAACGCUGCUACUGAAUACAACAAAGCAGAUCAAGAGAGUAAGGACAAUGCAAAGGUGACAGCGGCACCUGUAGAUGCCAGUACACCCCUUUGGAAUGGUGUGUCAGAAAGAAAGCGCAGAAGGAACAAAUCUGCAGGUACUGCAACAAGGAGAAGAAGGAGUUUUCAGUUUGAUAAAGAGAAUGAAGUACUGGAAGAUGACCAAAACAAUAGUGAAGAAGAAGAGUUUCUGGAAAAAAAAUGUUUCUGACAUAUAUCAAGCUGAAGGUGAGUCCACACAAAAUUAUUUUCUGGAAGAAAGUGCAAGUGUUCUUCAAGAACAACAGAGAAAGAGCAACGAAAUAGCAUUUUCUGGGAUAGACGGGGAGAGAAGCGGGGCAGAUUUUCAUAAUGACUAAAGCGGAUGCUGAAAAGGAGAGUGCCAAGCUUCCUGCACAUUCAGCACUAAGAUGGGAAACUAAAUUCUGAAGAGCAAAAUUCAAGUGGUAAGUAAAAAGUCCAACAGGUCAUUUAGCAC
rnacentral:lncRNA from 1 species